UGCCCUGGGGGUUAGAAGAUUGUUCAAGGCUCCUGAAUAAACUGCUAAAAGAAGAGCUUGUGGGUCGCGUCUUUCUUGCUGGUCAAGGCGGACGCACAGUUGGUGGCCCGUACAGGGAACCUCUUGAGACUCAGAACUUUUUGCAGUCAGGGCAGUUCCCAGCAUCUGACCUCUUUAAGAAGAACUGUACCAGCUCACAUUUCCUUGCCUCAGAUGAUAACGAAGGUGAUAACAACGUAACCCAGAAACACCUCGAUAUUCACCAAGUGUUUGGUUCUUUUCCACUUGGUUUCAAAUCAAAUCUUGGCACCAGAUAUUGUGGGACUGUGUCUAUCACAGGACAGAUCCUGAUAAGCAGUCCGUGAAAGACAGACAGCAGCUGGCUGGCAGACGUGUGAGCUCUGUCUCACUGCCAGUUGUUACUGUCAUCGGAUCUCCAAGCAUGCAGUCACUCAGAUGACAACUUCCUGAUACAUUAUUAGGCUGGAAAAGUACCCCCGGGAUUCUAAUUCAUUAUAAGGAUUGAUGGCUUAUUCAGUGAUUUCCAACUCCAUCCCAGAUGCAUUAAGAUCGGCACUUAAUUUUUAUGAAAAUAAUGAAAUCACAACACAAUAAAACAAGAAAUGAAGCCAGCAUCACUGCUGAAACUGGUCAACCUGCAAAACCAUCACCUAAAAUGAUCCUGUCGCUGGAUGAAUGAAAAAUUAAUUCAUUUUAUUGUAGACGCAAAACCCCCAUUCGCUUCCAACUCACUGAGAAUAAAAGGCAAGGUUCCCACAAUGGA